UUCUCCUUCCUUCUUUUGAGAUUUUAUGGUUCCACUACAAAGAUCCAUGCAGUAGGAGUCUAAAGCAGGUAUUUUCAAUAAAUAUAAAUCUCUGGAGGAAGAAAAUGAAGGAGAAGAAAUAAAGAAAUCAGCCAAUCGUUUUUUUUUCCCAAAGGGUCCCAAAUGAUGAGGAAUAUUCACACUAUUAAACAUUCAAAAGUUUGAGAUAUAAGGAGGAAGAAAUGGAAGAGGGCCUCUAUCUGUUUUGGAGCCAUAACAAAAAUGUGUUUAGAAACAUUAUGAAAACAUCAUAAGAACAAGCCAUCUGACAAUAUCAAACAUGAUCCCAGUGCUUGAAAUGUUGAUUGGAGGCUAAGCAGGAUCUACUCCAACAUGGCAUUCAGAACAGAAAGAGGAAAGAACCUAGGCGGAGAGGAAGACAUGGAGAGAGUUAAAAGAAGAUUUUUUUUCUAAUUUGAAAAGGUUUAAUGUUUGUCCUGAUACUGUAGUUCUGGUGGUUUGUUUGUUUUUGCCAGUAUCUGUUGUAGUGAAUGUAACGAAUCAAAUCAAAUAUGCCCGUAAAACUCCUAAUCUGAAAAUUUAAGACAAAUAACUUUACAAAAAUGUAACUGCAAACAAUGAGAGAAAAUUAGAAAACAAAACAUUAUAUUACCAUACUCGUUUCCUGAGACCUAAGUGCCGUCUAUUAUUCAUACAUGAUUGAGAUUAUUUGGGUAUAUAUUUAGGUACGCUAAGCAAAGUAUAUUGAUUGACACUGCUGUGUGCUUUCUUGUGUUACUCUUAUCAAAUGGUUUCAUGAUGUGUUUCAGUUAUGCGACCUUUUGUCAGAAGCAAGAAGCCAAGAAGAAAAAAACAUCAUUGAAUUAGACUAAUACCUCUAAGUAAAAAGCUUGUGUGUUUAGGAAAACUGAAAUAUCCGCCUGCAGAGUGUUAGCAACUUUAUUCGGGCAGCACAAACUGUAGAAUGGAUUUGCAUUGAAAACCAACAAUUCCACCAAGUGCUUUCCCACUGAAUGGAAAAAUAACAUCAUAACAAUAGUCUUGGAACAUACUUAUAACUUUGACAUGCAUCAAGAAAAUAACACAAUAUGAGUUCAGAAUCAUGCCUUUACAGGUCUCAUCACCAUUCCCACAUCACUAAGCACCAUCAUUUGGGUUUUAUUUUAUUAAUUUAUUUUAUUUUUCUGUCUGUUGAUGUCAGUGAAGCAGAUCUUCCUGAUCAUAACAGUUUGGAUUCAAUUGCCUGAAAGCAAAUAUUAGCUUUGAUACUGAUAAACAAUAUAAUAACUAUUAUAAUAAUUGAAUAUAAAAAGUAACUACUCAGAGUAUAAGGGGGAACAGUUAUAAUGUUUAAAGACACAAAGCGAAAUACAGAUAGGUUAAAGAUAGGUUGCUAUGCUUGCCACUGCAAGAUAAUAGGCCAAAAUACGAUGUCAAUCUGAUUGACUUGAUUUCUUUGAGGCCUGGAUUGCUCAGAAUAUGAACCAUUUCUAAUGAACAGAAUACAGGAAGAACAUCUAUUGGUUACAGGACCGUCUUUUUCUGGAGAGGUUAUACUUGCAAAAACUACAUUGUACAAUCCUGGCAAAUGUUUUAACACAACUCUUUAUCUCUGACUACAUGGGAAUCCAUGAAAGCAUGGCUCAUUGUCUUACACACUUAAUGAAAGAUGAUUGUUUAUCACAAGUUAUUUCUGUAAUGUAGAUAGGCACGUUUCUAUAUUACCUGCACCUAUUCCUUAAAAUGCAUGAGUUUUAUAAUAAAAGGGAGAAAAAAAACCAUAAGGGAGAAAGAACUGGGGCAUUGGAACCAGCAAAAUCCUGAUUCUAUUGUUAAGUUAUUUUUUAUGAUUUUAUUGUGAUGACAUUACUCCAACUUCUGUAGAAUGCUAAUUUCAUCUUUAAAACCAUAAUGAUUUUAAUUAAUAAAGAAAUAAUUCUAUGGAUAAAUAUCUGGAAUAAAUCUAUAACAUUUACAGAAAUUGUAUUUUAACCUAUUGUUACAUAAUAAACAGUUUCAAUUCUGUUCAUAAUUCACAUGGCAAAUAGAAUCUGCUAGCAGACUCUAUCUCAUAUUAAAUAUGCUGUUUUU